AGCUUGUGUCCGCUGGAUAACCUCCUUGGCGAACGGGUGAGUAACACGUGGGUAACCUGCCCAUCAUAAGGGGAUAACACUUGGAAACAGGUGCUAAUACCGUAUAACAAUCGAAACCGCAUGGUUUUGAUUUGAAAGGCGCUUUCGGGUGUCGCUGAUGGAUGGACCCGCGGUGCAUUAGCUAGUUGGUGAGGUAACGGCUCACCAAGGCCACGAUGCAUAGCCGACCUGAGAGGGUGAUCGGCCACAUUGGGACUGAGACUCGGCCCAAACUCCUACGGGAGGCAGCAGUAGGGAAUCUUCGGCAAUGGACGAAAGUCUGACCGAGCAACGCCGCGUGAGUGAAGAAGGUUUUCGGAUCGUAAAACUCUGUUGUUAGAGAAGAACAAGGAUGAGAGUAACUGUUCAUCCCUUGACGGUAUCUAACCAGAAAGCCACGGCUAACUACGUGCCAGCAGCCGCGGUAAUACGUAGGUGGCAAGCGUUGUCCGGAUUUAUUGGGCGUAAAGCGAGCGCAGGCGGUUUCUUAAGUCUGAUGUGAAAGCCCCCGGCUCAACCGGGGAGGGUCAUUGGAAACUGGGAGACUUGAGUGCAGAAGAGGAGAGUGGAAUUCCAUGUGUAGCGGUGAAAUGCGUAGAUAUAUGGAGGAACACCAGUGGCGAAGGCGGCUCUCUGGUCUGUAACUGACGCUGAGGCUCGAAAGCGUGGGGAGCAAACAGGAUUAGAUACCCUGGUAGUCCACGCCGUAAACGAUGAGUGCUAAGUGUUGGAGGGUUUCCGCCCUUCAGUGCUGCAGCUAACGCAUUAAGCACUCCGCCUGGGGAGUACGACCGCAAGGUUGAAACUCAAAGGAAUUGACGGGGGCCCGCACAAGCGGUGGAGCAUGUGGUUUAAUUCGAAGCAACGCGAAGAACCUUACCAGGUCUUGACAUCCUUUGACCACUCUAGAGAUAGAGCUUCCCCUUCGGGGGCAAAGUGACAGGUGGUGCAUGGUUGUCGUCAGCUCGUGUCGUGAGAUGUUGGGUUAAGUCCCGCAACGAGCGCAACCCUUAUUGUUAGUUGCCAUCAUUCAGUUGGGCA
rnacentral:rRNA from 1 species